AUGCUCAUUUCAGCAGCACAUAUACUAAAAUUAGAAUGAUACAGAGAAGAUUAGCACGGCCCCGGAGGAAAGAUGACAUGCAAAUUUGUGAAGCGUUUCAUAUAACU